GACGAACGCUGGCGGCGUGCCUAAUACAUGCAAGUAGAACGCUGAAGGAGGAGCUUGCUUCUCCGGAUGAGUUGCGAACGGGUGAGUAACGCGUAGGUAACCUGCCUGGUAGCGGGGGAUAACUAUUGGAAACGAUAGCUAAUACCGCAUAAGAGUAGAUGUCGCAUGACAUUUGCUUAAAAGGUGCAACUGCACCACUACCAGAUGGACCUGCGUUGUAUUAGCUAGUUGGUGAGGUAACGGCUCACCAAGGCAACGAUACAUAGCCGACCUGAGAGGGGGGUCGGCCACACUUGGACUGAGACACGGCCCAGACUCCUACGGGAGGCAGCAGUAGGGAAUCUUCGGCAAUGGACGGAAGUCUGACCGAGCAACGCCGCGUGAGUGAAGAAGGUUUUCGGAUCGUAAAGCUCUGUUGUAAGAGAAGAACGAGUGUGAGAGUGGAAAGUUCACACUGUGACGGUAUCUUACCAGAAAGGGACGGCUAACUACGUG
rnacentral:rRNA from 1 species